rnacentral:rRNA from 1 species
AACCCUCGGGAUUGUAAUUUGAAGAUUUGGCAUUGGAGAAAGCUAACCCAAGUUGCUUGGAAUAGUACGUCAUAGAGGGUGACAACCCCGUCUGGCUAACCGUUCUCCAUGUAUUGCCUUAUCAAAGAGUCGAGUUGUUUGGGAAUGCAGCUCAAAGUGGGUGGUAAACUCCAUCUAAAGCUAAAUACUGGUGAGAGACCGAUAGCGAACAAGUACUGUGAAGGAAAGGUGAAAAGAACUUUGAAAAGAGAGUGAAAUAGUAUGUGAAAUUGUUGAUAGGGAAGGAAAUGAGUGGAGAGUGGCCGAGGUUUCAGCCGCCCCUCGUGGGCGGUGUACUGCCGACGCCGAGUCAUCGAUAGCGAGACGAGGGUUACAAAUGGGAGCGCCUUCGGGCGUUCUCCCCUAACCCUCCACACUGCCACCGACGACAUAAUCCACCCAUUUCACCCGUCUUGAAC